rnacentral:rRNA from 1 species
GACGAACGCUGGCGGCGUGCCUAAUACAUGCAAGUCGAACGCAGUGGGGACGGGUGAGUAACACGUGGGUAACCUCCCAUCAGAGGGGAUAACACUUGGAAACAGGUGCUAAACCGAUACUGAUGGAUGGUCCAGAGGUGCAUUAGCGAGUUGGUGAGGUAACGGGUCACAAAGUCCACGAUGCAUAGCAGACCUGGGAGGGGGAUCGGCAAAACGGGGACUGAGAAACGGACCAGACUCCUACGGGAGGCAGCAGUAGGGAAUCUUCGGCAAUGGACGAAAGUCGGACCGAGCAACGCCGCGUGAGUGAAGAAGGUUUUCGGAUCGUAAAACUCUGUUGUUAGGGAAGCGGUAUCUAACCAGAAAGCCACGGCUAACUACGUGCCAGCAGCCGCGGUAAUAC